rnacentral:lncRNA from 1 species
UUAUUUUUAUAAAUUCUUUGAUUGACUAAAAUUUUGCAGAAAAAUUCACCUUUUAAAGUAAGACAUGGGAAGUUGGUUUAAUUUUUUUUUUUCUUUUAAAGCCUUUCAAGACAUUUCUUUGUACAUAUAAAUAGGAUCUAGGAUAUGAGCAUUAAGAAUUUUGGCCUGAAGGAGGGAAUGAUCUGCCAUAUGUAUUUUUUUUCAGCAGCAGAAUGUUCUAGAAAGAUUCAGAAAGAGAGGGAAGAAAUUUUGGAAGCUAAGACACCCCCAGAGCACACCCCAAAAUCCCCUUGGGGUGGGGGACAAACAGAAGGAGGAAGGUAGGACCCUUCUGUGUCCGGAGGACCUGAUGUUGCUGUGCUGGGGUGGAGCCAGGACCACCCCCCCUCCAGUUCCUGUCUCUCCUCCUUCCAUCUCCCACCCAGUCUCCCUGCAAACACUGCCCUGUAAUGCAUGUUCUUGCUUUAAGACCUUAGAAACCAGUUUUACAAUCAAAAGAAUCCCCUGCAUGAGGUACAACGUUGAGGCCAGUUUGCAGAAUGGAGAGAUUGCAUGUGCAUCCUUGCUGGAUGGUGUGGACCAGCAGACAAGGACUGGGAGGCUAGAUGGACGUAGAAUCAUGUGGGUUUGCAGAGAGGCCCUGGAAGGGGUGAGCCCUGAGCGGGCAUCAGCGCCGUGGGCUCAGAGAUCAGGCUGCCUAGACAAACGGGAGGCGGUGGGAGGCGGGACAGGACCAGGUCACCUGUCAGACUGCUUGCGCACAGUGGCAAGAGGGCCAGAACCCCGCAGGGGGGCAGGGGUCCCUCUGCCUCCCAGCCCCUUGACUCAGCAAUAAACUACUGAUAACAGGAAAGCCUGGAUUUUAGUUUAAAUCCUGCCCCUGAUUGAACCCGGGUAAGUCUAGACACAUCUCUUUUCAUACUUUGGGCUCGUUUAGAGCCUGCCGUGCUCACGGCCUGCUCCGUGGACUUCUUUCUUUCUGUCCCCGUGCUGAGCCUGGUAUACCAGAUGCUCAAAGGAAGCUCUGGAAUUAGUUGUGGCUAAGUCUGCCGUGAUGAUAAGGCAUUCCUGAAAUUGCUCUCAGACGCCAGCGAUCCGUCUUUCACUGUUGGAUCAGUUGUUUGCUGGUGGCUUGGGGUGGUCCAGUUACAGGUGUGUUUAUCGGGGUUCAUGGAGACGCCGGGCGUCUCGGGUGGCUGAUGUGUGUCUCUCCUUCAGAGUCUGGGUUUCUCCCAAGAAGUCGGGGAAUCUCCUGCGAUAACGGGACUUACAGAAGUUCCUGUCAUGGCUCGUUGGAAAUGAACCUGACAAGUACCCAUGUGGACGCGCUUUCCAUCUCUGGCCUCCCUCAGUGGGUUAAGGAUCCGGCGUUGCCAUGAGCUGUGGUGUAGGUUGAAGACGUGGCUGGGAUCCUGCGUGGCUGUGGCUGUGAUGUAGGCCAGCAGCUGUAGGUCCGAUUCAGCCCCCAGCCUGGGGAAUUUCCAUAUGCCGUGGGUGCGGUGCUAAAAAGCAAAAUAAUAGUGUGGGGUGGGCCCCCAUACCCAGUGACAUAGGCAUCUCUUGGGGGGGGUGUAAUUCUAUUUUUAGUGCAUUUAAAAUAUUUCCUUUAUCUUUGAAGAUAACAGGCAUAUGUGCUCCAUGUAAGCAAAUUAUAGAAAAUAAGGAAAACUUAGAAAAACAAAACCCACCUCCAGUUUCACUUUAGAGAACAGCUGUUAACAUGUGUUAACAUUUAUGGGGUUUUGAUGCUCUCCUUUCUGUCAUGUUCCUUUCUGGUGGCUUUAAAAUUCGGGUAAACACUAUCUAAGAGUCUGCGGGGCAUUCCCAUCGUGGCGCAGUGGAACUGAAUCCGACUAGGAACCAUGAGGUUGCGGGUUCCAUCCCUGCCCUUGCUGAGCAGGUUAAGGAUCCGGCGUUGCCGUGAGCUGUGGUGUAGGUCACAGAUGCUGCUCGGAUCUGGCAUUGCUGUGGCUGCGGUGUAGGUCAGUAGCUGUAGCUCCAAUUCGACCCCUAGCCUGGGAACCUCCAUGUGCCACGGGUGCAGCCCUAAGAAAAAGAAAAAAAAAGGACUUUGCAGUUUGCACAAGAUUCAGGAACCCCUGUGCCACAUGGGAAACUGGGGCACACCGGCUAGCAUCCUGAGGCUGGGAAGCUUCGUGUGGCCUCGAGUUCAGAGUUCAGCCUUCUGUCCGCGAUCCCGUGGGAAAGCCGGAUCUCUCUGGGAGCCAGCGAUGGAGCGGCUCUGAGUCUCACCGAGGCCGAGCUCCCGCCUCGAGCCCCAGCACCUCCUCUCCUCCUGAAGCAGAAGCGCAGAACUCCAUCCCUUGCAAAACUCAGGGCGUGAGCGCGACGUCGCGGGGGUCAGCAGGGCGGGUCUGACUGUCCAGUGGGCACCUCCUCCUGGACCCGUGGCUCAGGAGCAGACCCAGUGGAGGGGACUCCGGGCUGCAUCCCGGUGCGCUGGGCAUCCGCUGCGUGGCCUCCUGACAGCAGGGCCCCCCCGCCCCAGAGCCCAGCUCUGCUUCCUUCCUUCCCCGUCUCCUGUGCCCACUCGCUUUGAAUCCCUGCAGGACAGGACCCUGCCCUGCGGGGGACAGUCCCCUCUGCGCCCCCCACAUCAGCCGGCCGUGCUGAGCCUCCGUCCACCGGACAGCUCAGGGGAUGGACCCACAAGCCCUGUCUGCUGAGGGCGCUGGGCGUGCCUGGGUGGUAACAGGACACGACGCUGCGCGGUGGAGGCCACGCUCCCAGACGACCCGCUCUCCCAGAGGACUGGGGGCAUUCCCAGGCUUUGCAGGGAGAACCUGGCCGGCUGCCGGAGGUGACAGGGUGACGCCCGCACAGCUGCCAGGUGAGAGCCCUGUUUCUGCCCCAGACUGCGUUCAUCAAGGUCGCUCUGCGUUUCUGUCAUGGUUUUUCCUCUUUGCCACACCUGCCCCCUGAACUGACCAUGUUGCUGGAGGCACAGGCGGAGGAGCAGAAGGAGCCCCCCCCCAUCUGCCACCAGCUUCGCACGUGGAGCUGUGCCAGCUGUCCUCCGCCAACCCCUCCAGCCUCAUCCCAGGAACACUUGCCCUUGAGACUCAGCUUCCUCAUCCAGAAUGUGGGUGUGUGCUCUGUCCGGCCCAGUGGGCAAAUGUCAGAAUAAAGUGGGGUGACUUUUCCCAUAAAGCCCCGUGGGAAGCAGGCUGCCGUCCUGUUGGUUUCUGAGGGCUUUGCGAUUCCUUCUUACAUAUGCCCUUCAGCGGAGAGUCUUGCAAAUGUUCACUGCUUAGUUUUGCGAAUGGAACCAAACCAAACCCUGAAGAACCUGGACUGGUCUUUGGGAAAGACCCUCCCCGCAAGAGGUGGCAGCCGUUUCCCGGUUUGUCUUUCCACAGAAGCGUGUGUGUGUGUGUGUGUGUGUGUGUGUGUGUGUGUGUGUGUGUGUGUCUGGUUUGAUACAUAAACAUUUUGGCAUGAGCUUGGCUGUUUUCUUAUGGACUGAACACACAGUGUCAUCCAUAGAACCGUAUUUGGAACGGCAGUCUUGGCGAUGCUGUUGUAUUACCGAGGCUGUAUUUAGUCACUUUGGGGCGGGUCCGAGGUCUGGCAGGAGGUGCGUCGCUCUUGCGUGUAGCCUUCCUCUGAAAGGUUGCCAAUUAGGGUGACCAUCUUUCUGUGAUGUGAGCGUUUUCUUCACAUGAAACAGACUUGAGAGUCAGAGUUAUUUCACAUGUUGAUGUGCUUACAGCUCCCGCCCGAACGCUCAAAACCAACUUAAUUCCACUUAGUCUCCUUACAAAAAAUAAGAAUAGUCAAUCCCACGAGAAAUAUGCAGAUCGGUUUCUUGCGUAUUCCCCCUCUCAAGUCUGAUGCGUCCUGUGAUCAAAAACAAGCUAGAAAAUGGAGUGCCCGUGUGGUGCAGAGGGUUCAGCGUCCUGGCACAGUGGGUUAAGGUAUCUGGUGUUGCCGAAGCUGUGGUGUUGGUCCCGGUGAAGCUUGGAUUCAGUCUCUGGCCCAGGAACUUCCAUAUGCUGCGGGUGUGGCAUUAAUGCUAACAAAACCAACCGACCAACCAAACCAACCCAAACCAGAAUGGACUGUGCGCAGGCCAGUGGUUCUGUGAAGCCACAUGCCACAGGCGGGUUCAGAGGUUUGUCCUGUGCUGCAGCGUUUGCAACUGGCCCCCAGGAUGGUGUGAGUUUCUCUGAGCUUGUCCACAGCCAGCUUUAAAGACAUUAUUCUGGAAAAGCUGUCACGUGUGUGUGUCUUGAUCUCUGUGUCUGAGUCUGUCUCUGUCUCUGGCCCUAAAUCCAGCUGUGCUGAUUAUGGAACAGGCCAGGCGAGGCUGUGGUCUGAUUGAAGCGAAAGAUAAGUUUGUGUGGCAGAUUAUUUAUUUUACAAAAGAAUUAUUCUAGUCAAAGGAGUUCAGCAAGAACGUCUCAGAACAGUAAACUCUCUUAGGGCUUUUAAAAUCCGAUUAGCCUGCCCAAGGCUUGGUUUUAACGCGCUUGCGCAGGAAACGGUGACCACGUGUAUUUCUAUGUCGGGCGAUUUCGUUCCUGCUGGUCGGCAUCUUCGCCUCCGCUCUCUCGUUUGCCAGUGGACCGCCAGGACCCCCUUCACGCCCCCUCUGGGGGUGAUGCUCACUCUCUCUCCCUCCGGCCUCUCCUUUAUUCUCUGCUGAAACCUUGGGGGACUCCUCAGUCACCAGACACGCCCGCGCUCCCCUGGCCCCUGGCCGUCGCCUCAGCCCAGCCCUUCUUGGAGCCUCAGAAUCGGCGGCCACGGACCCGCUCACUGUGCUUGCUUCAUUUCAUGGUGAUUGAAGUUCAAGCCCAGCCAUCGAGCAAAACCUCGGAGGCCCUGGUGCCGUUUGAAACGGGCCUCCCUCGUGUGACCUGGUUUAUUCUGCACUGAGGGUCUGGGGGAGCAGAGGUCCUGUCGGCUUCCUUUCUGGAGUGCCCGCCACUGUCCAGAGUGACCAGUGCUCCCUAAGUGAUGAAAGCAGGAGCAUGUUUAUCCUUGUCAUCCGUCCGUGGGGCUCCUACUGCGGCGCAGCCGCCACUCUGGAUGGUGUCUCCAGGAAGCCAAAUCCUAAGAAAACAAAGCUGGAGGCACAGACUUAGAGUGGGACGUUUUCUUCCAGCUGAAGCCCUGAGUGUCUCCCCUGGUAGGUGGUGGAAACGUGUAAUUUGCCCUUCAGAAGAGGCCCGGAGGCGCUUGAACGGUGUCACGUGUCGCUCAUCCAUUCGCAGUGAAACGACGGUAACAGUGUUGGGCCACAAAACACAUGAGCUGUGCUCCGCUGUCCGUCUCCCAGACGUUUGCUGGGUCCCUGCUCCUCGGGCCUCGAGCUUGGCGGGGAUUACAGGCCCGAAGGAGCAGGGCUGGGCUCUGAGCUCGUGCCUUUCUUUGUGGGAGGGUUUUGUCCACCUGCAGCUUGUCUAGUAACUAACUCUGAGCGUCCACUUCCUUAAGGGAGGGUUCCUUCUUGGGAAGGUUCUUCCUCCUGUCCUCCUGUCCUCUUUCGUCCAAUCCACCCGUCAGUGCACGUGGAACAUUCCACAAAACACAGUGAGGAUGUGGUACGAAGACAGAUGGAAGUUCGUUUCUGGCCCAGAGGGGAGGGUGUGAGCUGGUGGCUUAAAGGACCCGAGUCCCGCAGGAGCCCUGACGCCACACCUGGGGGGACGUGCUGCCUGGGGGACAAGGCCGGCGGCCUCUGCACGGGACAUCGUGGGCGUCCCUAUUCCUCUCUUUUGAUGAUUUCUGUGCUAGUCAAACAAAGAUGUACAGAACCACAGGGCAUGUAAAAGUCCCUUUAAGACCACGCUUCCCCGUCCCUCGGCUGAGGCAGGAUAGAAGGACCAAGUUCAAUUGUGGUUUGUACAGAAAUGUGUCCUUAGGGCAUCCACGAACUUGUCCUUGUGGGAAUGCAGUCGCUGAUGUGUAAAAUUCUUAAUU